UACAGAGGUCCCGAGCGUUGUUCGGAUUCAUUGGGCGUAAAGGGUGCGUAGGCGGUCUGCUAAGUUUGAUGUGAAAUCCCGGGGCUCAACCCUGGAAUUGCAUUGAAUACUGGUGGACUAGAGUACUGGAGAGGAAACUGGAAUUUACGGUGUAGCAGUGAAAUGCGUAGAGAUCGUAAGGAAGACCAGUGGCGAAGGCGAGUUUCUGGACAGUAACUGACGCUGAGGCACGAAGGCCAGGGGAGGCAAAACGGGGA
rnacentral:rRNA from 1 species